rnacentral:rRNA from 1 species
GGUGACGAGUGGCGGACGGGUGAGUAAUGUCUGGGAAACUGCCCGAUGGAGGGGGAUAACUACUGGAAACGGUAGCUAAUACCGCAUAAUGUCGCAAGACCAAAGAGGGGGACCUUCGGGCCUCUUGCCAUCGGAUGUGCCCAGAUGGGAUUAGCUUGUAGGUGGGGUAACGGCUCACCUAGGCGACGAUCCCUAGCUGGUCUGAGAGGAUGACCAGCCACACUGGAACUGAGACACGGUCCAGACUCCUACGGGAGGCAGCAGUGGGGAAUAUUGCACAAUGGGCGCAAGCCUGAUGCAGCCAUGCCGCGUGUAUGAAGAAGGCCUUCGGGUUGUAAAGUACUUUCAGCGAGGAGGAAGGCGUUGUGGUUAAUAACCACAGCGAUUGACGUUACUCGCAGAAGAAGCACCGGCUAACUCCGUGCCAGCAGCCGCGGUAAUACGGAGGGUGCAAGCGUUAAUCGGAAUUACUGGGCGUAAAGCGCACGCAGGCGGUCUGUCAAGUCGGAUGUGAAAUCCCCGGGCUCAACCUGGGAACUGCAUCCGAAACUGGCAGGCUAGAGUCUUGUAGAGGGGGGUAGAAUUCCAGGUGUAGCGGUGAAAUGCGUAGAGAUCUGGAGGAAUACCGGUGGCGAAGGCGGCCCCCUGGACAAAGACUGACGCUCAGGUGCGAAAGCGUGGGGGCAAACAGGA